GAAACCUCCGUUUGUGUUUACGGAUGUGCAGCGGCACUGUGGGGUUCCUCCGUGUUCGUCCCAGAGAGGCGAGCCUUGGCGUGUUUCUGCUACCUGUCCAUCAGUAAUCUGACCCAGCCCGUAGCUCACAGAAGGCCUCGGUGCAUUCAGUGAGAGCUUCCAGAUGGCCCCUACUUCUGGAGAACAUCUGGAGCUGCCGUGAGAUAGCAGCUUUUCAACUGAGAUUACAGAGAGGAGAAAGCUGAAUGCCCAUCACUGCCCAGCUCAAAGCCUAAGAUGACAAGGGGAUGGCUGAAAACAGCUCUGGAACCUCUGGAACUGAAAUACACGUUUGGUAAUAUCUGAUUCAAGAUUGGCUGACAGGAUGACAGCAGCCUGCUGACAGAGCAGCUACAGCCUCCUGCCUUGGAGAUGAUGGAUAGUUUGUGGACAUGACGGAUAGUUUGUGGAGAUGACAGAGCAGUAGUAUGAUGAGAACUGAUGGAUGAGAGCAGCAAGUAUCUGGCUUCAGAGAAACUAGACGGGCUUUCCCCGAGGGCUGAAGGAGGAUGGUUAGAAGGGACAGUCCCGUGAUUCUCUGGCUACAGGGACAAAAACAGACUUGGAACAACUCAGACUUCCUUAUCUGCCUGUUCUGUCCCCUUUGCUGCUUCUCUCAAAUGAUUUGGGGGCCAUGCAUUGCAAAUUAAGCUAAUGUUGUGUUCCAGGCUAAGAAUAAUCUCCCCAGACAAGGAAAAAGGACAAGAAAACAGGGACAAGAACAGUGUCCUAAUGUACUUUUUUCAGUUCCCAUCACAGUAACCCUCUGUCGUCUCUUGGCAUCAUCUUAACUCUCAUCCUGUAGGUCCUGGUGAGGUACUUCCCUCAAGUACAGGUGCAGAGGUGUCUCACCAGUGAGCCUGCAGGCACAAACCAAACCAUGCUGUUGUCACAACUUUUGAGAUGCUCGCCUUUUCCAGACAGCACAGACCUCUAGUCUGCUUUGGCCUCUCUCAGGUCCCUUAAAGCAUCUCUUGGUGACAUCUGGGACACUGUAAGACAGAGCUGCAGCCAUUUCGGCUCAGCACAGCAGGGACAGCAGAGAUUUCCGUGCCUUUUGCUGAUAUGAGAGCAAACUCAAGGCCAUGCAACCGCAUCUUUCCCACCUCCCCCUCCCAGUUCCAAAUUUCUGCACUGCAGUGCAGCCUUGAUGGCAGCAAGCCCUGGCUUGCGGCUUCUCUUUCGAGCGCUUGAGGGCACUGUUGGAAUUUGGAACGAGGCUGAUCUGUGGGGUGAAGGAUUUGUUUCCUGCCACGCCAUGCAGAGGCACAUCAGGUUGCCAGGACUCUGGCUUCCACUGGAAGCCUUGCUGCUUGCAGGGGUAUGUAACUUUGGCAUGCAUGUACUGUCUCAGGCAAAAACUUUCUCAGAAAAUAUCAGGUAACUGAGGCUUCUUACAUCUUGUAAGUGUUUCUCCCUUCCACUUUUAACUCCAAAGCUUCUCUUGAAGGUCUGAUUUUAGGGAGAGGAGCACGUUGCACAAUCAGUUCUUGGGAGGAAGCAGACCAUAAAAGGUCAGAUCACAUGGAGAUAUGCUUCACCUGCACAGAUACUGUGAGUGCUGUUCAUGCAUGGACUUGUGUGCAAACACAAAUCUCACUGCUGUCAGCCUCCAAGGGAGCCAGCAGAGCAGGCUGUGCUCCAGGGUCAAUGCUACAACGGCUCAGAAGGAGUGCACGCAGCACUCUGCUGAGAAGCUGUGCCAGAGUAAUUAUUUACAUGUGCUGGCAUAAAGUAAUUACUAAUGGAGCGGAACACCAUGCACAGUCCCUCCAAGCUGUCCCAGAGGAGGCACUGGGAGGUACUGAGCAAAGUGCACUCUCAGUGUAUCAAACUUCAGAUUUCCUCCCACCUCAAUCCUCCCCCUCCUCCCAGGGGAGCAGAGGAGCCUCUGUCACCCCUUCUAUCCCGUCCUCUUGCCUAUGCCAGCAUGAUCCAGGGCUGUAGGUUGCCCUGUUACUUCAGCUAAAUCACACACAAAACUCACUUUGAUGAGGUCUUUUGGAGAUGAUGGCAUUCACAUUAAAAAGCUGGGACUGUAAAUUGAUUUGUGCUAUUUCACUGCUGUGUUUCUCUUGCUGUUUCAGAGGUGGACCGCUGGCACAACUACAUGCACCCAGACCCACUUCCUAAUGCCCU
ensembl:lncRNA